AUUCUUUUUUUUUUUUUUAAUUCUAUUUCUAAAAUGGUCUAAUUUUCAAGAGAUAUGAAUGCAAAACUCUUGUUUGUUUAGAAAACAAAUCAUGAAAAAUAAAAUAUAUCAAAUUUCUCAUGGGCAUGACCAGCAUAGUAAAUCUAAGCAAAUGAUUAAAAACAGUAAGGGCAAAAAUAAAUAUAAAUAUACCUGAGAGUGUAAGGCAAUUGCUUUGCCUCUAAGCUGGUUGAGCCUUUUCUUGCCAAUUAUAUUGCGUGUGACAACAACAAUAGGUGCGAAAAGACCCUUCCCUUCAUUAACGUUCUUCAUCAUGGCCGCCAAUCUUACCGGCUUUGCAACCCUUACAUGGUUU
rnacentral:misc_RNA from 1 species